UACGUAGAUGGCAAGCGUUGUCCGGAAUUAUUGGGCGUAAAGCGCGCGCAGGCGGUCCUUUAAGUCUGAUGUGAAGGCCCACGGCUCAACCGUGGAGGGUCAUUGGAAACUGGGGGACUUGAGUACAGAAGAGAAGAGUGGAAUUCCACGUGUAGCGGUGAAAUGCGUAGAGAUGUGGAGGAACACCAGUGGCGAAGGCGACUCUUUGGUCUGUAACUGACGCUGAGGCGCGAAAGCGUGGGGAGCAAACAGG
rnacentral:rRNA from 1 species